rnacentral:rRNA from 1 species
AGAGACAGCAGCCGCCGCGGUAAUACGUAGGUGGCAAGCGUUGUCCGGAAUUAUUGGGCGUAAAGCGCGCGCAGGCGGCCUAUCCAGUCUGUCUUAAAAGUUCGGGGCUCAACCCCGUGAUGGGAUGGAAACUAGUAGGCUAGAGUAUCGGAGAGGAAAGCGGAAUUCCUAGUGUAGCGGUGAAAUGCGUAGAUAUUAGGAAGAACACCAGUGGCGAAGGCGGCUUUCUGGACGAGAACUGACGCUGAGGCGCGAAAGCCAGGGGAGCGAACGGGAUUAGAUACCCCUGUAGUCCCUGUCUCUUAUACA